CCAAGGCAGCCCUAUGCCUUGUCUCAAACUCAGGCUCCCAGCAGUCCCAGCACAUUCCUGUGACUGCGCACAUACACGCUUGUAAAGCCAGCUGUUCAGGGUUUGUGCUACCCACUACUGUCUGUAUUUCACACACUUCCCAGCCAACCAACUGCUUUCUAACUGACUGCUUUCUGGGCGGUCUCACACUGUCCUGCCCACUCCAACAUCUUGCAUUUCUUCCUUCCUCAAUGUUUCUUCUUCAUGCAUCAGAGCUACUAGGUCAGUGCUGUCACCACAGGCAGAUAGUUGAAGAAGACUUUUCCCAUGUUUCCCUACUGGUUUCUUAUGGCCUUCCUGGCUCCUAUAGGCUGGGCUCUUCAGCAAACCCCACACUCAGUUGUCCGACUGGGAGACUCUCUGACUCUGAACUGUUCGCACAAGGAGAGUGGAAUCUGGACCAUGUACUGGUACAAGCAGCCAGUGGGGAAGAACGUCUCUUUGCAGCUGGUUGUACUUUCAACAGAAGGUACCAAGGCAGAGUUUGAGGAGGACUUCAAAAGCCGCUUCCAGAGUAGUGGGACUAAGGCGAACUCCUUAUCAGUGACGAUAGAUCAUGUCCUACUCAGUGACUCAGGCACUUAUUUCUGCGCUAAGCAAGAUACACUGUGACACGAAGGCGGGAGCAGCAUAGCGCAAACCUCUCUCCAUACAAGUUGAGCACAACAGAUUCCAGCAUCUCCUGUUUGCUUCCCAAGCUGUGUGCAUUGGUGUAGAGGCACUUCAGCGGGGCAGCUAGUCUUGUCAAGUCCUUAAAGGAUAACUCCUUCAUUCCUUUUAAGGAAUUAUUUCCCUUCAUUUUCCCCAUUGCCUUCUCCUAUUGCCCCAGCUGCCACCGCCUCAUCAUCACAGGAUUUCAGAUGUGCUGCAGUGUUGCCAGCACCGCUCAAGGCAGCAGAAGGCCUUUGCUGGUACCCUGUCCCUCUAAUCUAGCUAUGCCAUCCCACACCUUAUCAUGGGAAGGCUCACUAUCCCGCUCGUCCCCUUUCAGACCCUGAUUAAAACCACCCCAAAGAGCCCUCUAGUUCUUCCCCAAGGACUCUUCUCCCUCUAGGAGAGAGAAAGGCAAACCCCACCUGGUGCUCACAAACCUGGUGCCAUAUGGGCCGUUUGGUUGUCAAAAUAAAAACCAAAGUUCUGAUGA